GUGCCGUCACCGACGGUCGGCAGGCGAUCCGCGUCGGUCUCGCGAGGUGGUAUGGUUUCAAAAGGGCCGGUUUUUGUGUUGCCUACCCCUUCAGGGGAAGCGGGCCACUUGAUGUAAGCCUCCAUCCCGGGCCCUCCAAAGGGCGCAGGAGGACAACGGAGCACCCCCCGCGUUUCCCCGAGCCUUCUCCGGUCGGGUGGCCCGGGGGGACGUGCGAUGCUCUCGGACCCAGCGAACCCCGUGGGCGAGGACUCACGUCCCAGUCCCAAAAGAAGCUUCGAAUGUAACGCAUGAGGGCCGCUCCCGCCCCCCGACCGCCCCGGCGGUGCGAGGGCGAGGCGCGGCGUCGCGGAGGAAUGCUACCUGGUGAUCCUGCCA
rnacentral:misc_RNA from 1 species